rnacentral:rRNA from 1 species
UACAGAGGGUGCGAGCGUUGUCCGGAAUCACUGGGCGUAAAGGGCGCGUAGGCGGUCUCUUAAGCGUGUGGUGAAAGCCCGGGGCUCAACUCCGGGUCGGCCGUGCGAACUGGGGACUGGAGCGUAUCAGAGGCGGGCGGAAUUCCGGGUGUAGCGGUGAAAUGCGCAGAUAUCAGGAAGAACACCCGUGGCUAAGGCGGCUCUCUAGUACGGUACUGACGCUGAGACGCGAAAGCGUGGGGAGCGAACAGG